rnacentral:tRNA from 1 species
GGGCAAUUAGCUCAGUGGUAGAGCGUUCCCUUGACAUGGGAAAGGCCAUAGGUUCAAUCCCUAUAUUGCCCA